UCUAAUUAUCAUUAACUACUAUUAUUAACUAUUAUUAUCAAUUAAAAUUCCACACAAUAUUAACAAUUACGAAAAUCUAAACAGAAUGGGCCUUGGAACCAAACCUUAAGCCCAAAUGGGAGGUGCAUAGGCUAUGGAGGGAGUGAAUAUGGCCAAAAACUGAAGGAUCGGGCCUAGGGCCCAAUCGAUCCAGCACUGUAGCAACGGGAUAUACAUCCCCUAGGUUUAUCUUCCUGCGAACAAAUCCACAAGCCCUCUCCCACUUGAAAACAUGGCCGGCGAUCACCUAACGACUCCGCCGCGCCGGAGCUCAUUGUCGGCGGCGGCGGCGGAGCCCUCAAUCGCCUCACGCUCACCUCCCUACAACCGCUACUACCGUCUCAAACUUUCCUAAAUGACUCCAUAAACGAACUUAUCCACAAACCACAGCCAAACGAUAACGCACGAUCCUCACAACGGAUGAAUCAAACGCCGAACAACGACGGAGCGUGACUCGACCAAGGACUACAAGGUUAUGCUUCCGCGAGACAAGAUUCGCAUCACCAUCACGAUUAGAUCGAAAAAUCGUGAGAAGACGAGAAACCUACCGGCGACGGCGAAGGUGAACUCGUCGGCAGAGGUCGAACUCUGUGCUCCUGAACCUCUAUUUCGUUCAAGUUACUUCUACUCCUCUUCUAUUCUUCUUCAGCUAUGUGCGCAAGGUAUCGGGAGAAUGAAGAAAUGGUGAAUGCAGAGUGAAACCGCGUGAAGACGAUGAGCGAGUACGAUGCACUGCAGUGACGGAUUAUGGAAAAAUUGUGCAGGUGGUUAGCUGGUAUACGUUUUGGAGGUUGCAUUUGCAUUGCCGUUUUGGAGUUGUUGCCGCGUUAUGGUCGCGUGUUGCUUGCGUCAUUGGCUUGACUCACGCUUUGGAAGCUGUUUGUAGCUUUGUUGCAGCUUUUGGAGUUUUUGCAAGUGGCUCAUGGAUAACAGCGCGUUGGGUGGUAGCUUGCUGCGUUUUCAUUUUUGGCGUUGUAUUUGUUUUUUUCUGCUGCAUUUUGCAGCUUUUUCAUGUCGUAGCAGCUGCGUUUUGCAGCUUUUGAAGUGUUGGCUGCUGCUAAGCUUUGUGGCUUUGGUAUUGGAUCACUGGCAUAUAGUACUGGGUUUUGUUGGAUUAA